GGAUAACCUACCUAUAAGACUGGGAUAACUUCGGGAAACCGGAGCUAAUACCAGAUGAUAUUUUGAACCGCAUGGUUCAAAAGUGAAAGACGGUCUUGCUGUCACUUAUAGAUGGAUCCGCGCUGCAUUAGCUAGUUGGUAAGGUAACGGCUUACCAAGGCAACGAUGCAUAGCCGACCUGAGAGGGUGAUCGGCCACACUGGAACUGAGACACGGUCCAG
rnacentral:rRNA from 1 species